rnacentral:rRNA from 1 species
ACCGGCGGCUCGAGUGGUAACCGUUAUUAUUGGGUCUAAAGGGUCUGUAGCCGGCCGGAUAAGUCUCUUGAGAAAUCUGGCAGCUUAACUGUCAGGCUUUCAGGAGAUACUGUCUGGCUCGAGGCCGGGAGAGGUGAGAGGUACUUCAGGGGUAGGGGUGAACUCUUGUGGUCCUUGAAGGACGGCCAGUGGCGAAGGCGUCUCACCAGAAUGGACCUGACGGCUAGUGACGAAAGUUAGGGGCAAGGACCG